UAAGGAAUAUUGCGCAAUGGGCGAAAGCCUGACGCAGCGACGCCGCGUGGGGGAUGAAGGUCUUCGGAUUGUAAACCCCUUUCGGGAGGGAAGAUGGAGCGAGCAAUCGUUCGGACGGUACCUCCAGAAGCAGCCACGGCCAACUUCGUGCCAGCAGCCGCGGUACUACGAAGGUGGCAAGCGUUGUUCGGAUUCACUGGGCGUACAGGGUGUGUCGGCGGUUUGGUACGCCUUCUGGUAAAGCUUCGGGCCCAACCCGGAAAGCGCAGAGGGUACUGCCAGGCUAGAGGGUGGGAGAGGAGCGCGGAAGUCCCGGUGUAGCGGUGAAAUGCGUAGAGAUCGGGAGGAAGGCCGGUGGCGGAGGCGGCGCUCUGGAACAUACCUGACGCUGAGACACGAAAGCGUGAGGAGCAAACA
rnacentral:rRNA from 1 species